UUAAGUGGCACCUCUCCCAUCGCCUGCUAUGUUUUACAUUUGGCAGCCAUAAAUGGUAAUAUAGUACAUAUUUUCCUUAUAGCUCUUGCUAUUCGUUCCCGUGCAGCUUCCUAUAGCAGAAACACAGAGCUUAUCAUUUUUAACCUAUCAACCGCAAGUGAGCCUUGGUUGUUAUUUAGAAGGCAGUCCCUAUUUUUCUUCUAGCAAACUCUUGCUAUUUGUUCCCAUGUGGUGGUGUGCAGCUUCAAAGUGCAGAAAAAUAGCAGUCAUCAACCUCCUACUACAGUCCUGUUAUUAGGAAAGGCAGCAUGGCUUUCAGAAUCUCUGAAUCGAAAAAAGAACACAGAAAAAGAAAAGUUACAGAGGAAGGAAGAGUGUUUAAAGAAAAUUGGACAGAAGAGUACUUUUUUGUUGAGGCAAACAGUAAAGCACUCUGCUUAAUUUGUGGUGAAUAUGUGCAAGUUUUCAAAGACUAUAAUUUAAAAAGGCAUUAUAUGCAAAAACAUGCUGCAAAAUUCUCUGUGUAUCAAGGAAUGUGUCGUAAGGACAAAGCAAUGGAACUUAAGAAAAGUCUGUCUUCUCAACAAAAUUUAUUUAAAAAAGUUAUUACUCAGACAGAAUCUAUUGUAAAAGCUAGUUAUGUGGUAACAUAUUUAACCCUUUAAG